AAAGUCGUAACAAGGUUUCCGUAGGUGAACCUGCAGAGGAAACAUUG
rnacentral:rRNA from 1 species